rnacentral:rRNA from 1 species
UACGUAGGCAGCGAGCGUUGUUCGGAGUUACUGGGCGUAAAGAGUGCGUAGGCGGUUUUCUAAGUUUGGUGUGAAAUCUCCCGGCUUAACUGGGAGGGUGCGCCGAAAACUGGAAGGCUUGAGUAUGGGAGAGGUAAGCGGAAUUCCUGGUGUAGCGGUGAAAUGCGCAGAUAUCAGGAGGAACACCGAUGGCGAAGGCAGGUCUCUGGGCCGAUACUGACGCUGGAGGAGCGAAAGCGUGGGGAGCGAACAGG